UACAGAGGUCCCAAGCGUUGUUCGGAUUCACUGGGCGUAAAGGGUGCGUAGGUGGUGAGGUAAGUCGGAUGUGAAAUCUCCAGGCUCAACCUGGAAAUGGCAUUGGAAACUACCUUGCUAGAGGGUUUGAGGGGGGACUGGAAUACUUGGUGUAGCAGUGAAAUGCGUAGAUAUCAAGUGGAACACCAGUGGCGAAGGCGGGCUACUGGGCCGAUACUGACACUCAGGUGCGACAGCGUGGGGAGCAAACAGG
rnacentral:rRNA from 1 species